GAUGAAGAACGCAGCGAAAUGCGAUAAGUAAUGUGAAUUGCAGAAUUCAGUGAAUCAUCGAAUCUUUGAACGCACAUUGCGCCCGUCAGUAUUCUGGCGGGCAUGCCUGUUCGAGCGUCUUUACGCCCCUCAAGUCCCCUGUGGACUUGGUGUUGGGGAUCGGCGAGGCUGGUUUUCCAGCACAGCCGUCCCUUAAAUUAAUUGGCGGUCUCGCCGUGGCCCUCCUCUGCGCAGUAGUAAAACACUCGCAACAGGAGCCCGGCGCGGUCCACUGCCGUAAAACCCCCCAACUUUUUAUAGUUGACCUCGAAUCAGGUAGGACUACCCGCUGAACUUAAGCAUAUCAAUAAGCGGAGGA
rnacentral:misc_RNA from 1 species